rnacentral:lncRNA from 10 species
UCGGGCCUGGGGGCUCACGCCUAUAAUUUCAGCACUUAAGGAGGUUGAACCAGGAGGAUUGCUUGAGCCCAGGAGUUUGAGACCAGCCUGGGCAACAGAGAGAGACCCCAUCUCUACCAAAAAUAAACAAAUAAGUUGGGCAUGGUGGCGCACAUGUGUGGUCCGAGCUACUCAGGAGACUGAGGUGGGAGGAUUGCUUGAGGCCAGGAGGUGGAGGCUGGGAUUACAGGCAUGAGCUACCACACCUGGCCAGGAGAUCCCUCUUGAUAAGAGUGGCUUUGUUUACAUGGAGGCCUUGGACAAGCCAGGUGGUUUAUACUUAGAGUCAUCAAAAUUCAUAGAACCAGGAAGAAGAAUGGUGGUUGCCAAGGGCUGGGGAAGGAAGAAAUGGGAGUUAGUGUUUCAUGGGUAGAGUUUCAGUUUUACAAGAUGAAAAGAGUUCCAGCGAUGGAUAGUGGGGAUAGUUGCGCGAUAUUGUGGAUGUAUUUAAUACCUCUGAACUGUACACUUGAAAAUGGUUAAGAUAGUAAAUUUUAUUACAUAUGUAUUUUACCACAAUAAAAAAAGUUGAGGCUGGCCAGGCAUAGUGGCUCAUGCCUGUAAUCCUCCCAUUUUGGGAAGCCAAGGUGGGAGGAUCACCUGAAGUUGGGAGUUCAAGACCAGCCUGACCAACGUGGAGAAACCCCGUCUCUACUAAAAACACAAAACUAGCCGGGCGUGGUGGUGCACUCCUGUAAUCCCAGCUACUCAGGAGGCUGAGGCAGGAGAAUCUCUUGAACCUGAGAGGUAGACGUUGCGGUGAGCUGAGAUCACGCCAUUGCACUCCAGCCUGGGCAACAAGAGUGAAACUCCAUCUCAAAAAAAAAAAAAGUUGAGGCCAGGUGUGGUGGCUCAUGCUUCUAAUCCCAGCACCUUGGGAGACUGAGACAGGAGGACCACUUGAGCUCAGGAGUUCGAGACCAGCCUGGGCAACAGAGCGAGAUCUUGUCUCUACAAAAAGAAAAAAAAUUGAAAAACAAUGCACUGUCCCCUCAACUCCUGCUAUGACCUCCUUAGCAAUGAACACCAUCUGACAUGCUAUAUAUUUUACUCAUUGUUUAUUCUUAUUGUCCCCCCA